rnacentral:rRNA from 1 species
AAACCAACAGGGAUUGCCUUAGUAACUGCGAGUGAAGCGGCAAGAGCUCAAAUUUGAAAUCUGACACCUUCGGUGUCCGAGUUGUAAUUUGUAGAAGCAUCUUUUGAAUUGGUCCUUGCAUAUGUUCCUUGGAACAGGACAUCAUAGAGGGUGAGAAUCCCGUUCAUGGUGGGGAAUCCAAUUCUUUGUAAAGUGCUUUCUAAGAGUCGAGUUGUUUGGGAAUGCAGCUCUAAGUGGGUGGUAAAUUCCAUCUAAAGCUAAAUAUUGGCGAGAGACCGAUAGCGAACAAGUACAGUGAUGGAAAGAUGAAAAGAACUCCGAAAGGAGAGUGAAAAAGGACGUGAAAUUGUUGAAAGGGAAGUGCUUGAGAUCAGUCUUAAGGUUUAGUGAUCAGUCUUCCUUUUGGUUGGUGCACUCACUAUUUCUUAGGCCAACAUCAGUUUGGGCGGCAGGAUAAUGACAUUGGAAUGUGGCUCUUUCGGGAGUGUUAUAGCCUUUGUUGAUACUGCCUGCUUGGACUGAGGACUGCGCUUCGGCUAGGAUGUUGGCAUAAUGAUCUUAAGCAGC